UUUGCCUACGGGACGCAGCAGUGGGGAAUAUUGCACAAUGGGGGAAACCCUGAUGCAGCAACGCCGCGUGAGUGAAGAAGUCAUUCGUGAUGUAAAGCUCUAUCAGCAGGGAAGAAAAUGACGGUACCUGAGUAAGAAGCCCCGGCUAACUACGUGCCAGCAGCCGCGGUAAUACGGAGGAUGCGAGCGUUAUCCGGAUUUAUUGGGUUUAAAGGGUGCGUAGGCGGAAUGCCAAGUCAGCGGUAAAAUCGCGGGGCUCAACCUCGCUCCGCCGUUGAAACUGGCGUUCUUGAGUGGGCGAGAAG
rnacentral:rRNA from 1 species